rnacentral:rRNA from 1 species
AGUGAACGCUGGCGGUAGGCCUAACACAUGCAAGUCGAACGGCAGCACAGUAAGAGCUUGCUCUUACGGGUGGCGAGUGGCGGACGGGUGAGGAAUACAUCGGAAUCUACUUUUUCGUGGGGGAUAACGUAGGGAAACUUACGCUAAUACCGCAUACGACCUACGGGUGAAAGCAGGGGAUCUUCGGACCUUGCGCGAUUGAAUGAGCCGAUGUCGGAUUAGCUAGUUGGCGGGGUAAAGGCCCACCAAGGCGACGAUCCGUAGCUGGUCUGAGAGGAUGAUCAGCCACACUGGAACUGAGACACGGUCCAGACUCCUACGGGAGGAAGCAGUGGGGAAUAUUGGACAAUGGGCGCAAGCCGGAUCCAGCCAUACCGCGUGGGUGAAGAAGGCCUUCGGUUUGUAAAGCCCUUUUGUUGGGAAAGAAAAGCAGCAGGUUAAUACCCCGCUGUUCUGACGGUACCCAAAGAAUAAGCACCGGCUAACUUCGUG